UUUAUUUUUUAAUUUAAGGUACUGUUUUCAUUGUCGAUGUAUGUGAUUUACUGUAUUUUACUCUUAAAUUUCCUCUUAAAAUUCGACCAGUCUAGUACUGCUGCUUGUGUUAGCUACUGUAGAAAAUCGUUGAAAACAAAAAAUGUAAUCCACAUAAUUGAAGAAACGACGAAAGGAAUGAAGUCGGUGUUUAAGAUGGGGACGGUUUUAAGAACACCGUGAAAUGUAAGUGCUUUUAAGCUUUUAUUAUUAUUGUUUUCGUUUUUUUUUU